UUAUGAAUGGUAGGGUGCAGAUUACCGC
rnacentral:sRNA from 1 species